rnacentral:lncRNA from 1 species
CUCUAAUGCUCUUUAGCUCACUUUCAUGUUCAGAGCACUUGUUAUGUUAUAGGACACCCUCUUAACUCAAACUCAGCACUAUCUCAAUCCAAUAACACCAGAUGAUUCUGUGAUUUCAGGAUUUGGCAACAGCCUUUCUCAACGUGCUUGGUAACGAGAAAGCCAGCAGAGAGAUAUUCAACAUCUCAGGGGAGAAAUACGUCACUUUUGAUGGGUUAGCAAGAGCUUGCGCAAAGGUACAUUCUUGUUGUCUGUUCUAUCCAAAAUGUUUUGAAUACAUGUGGCCUGUUUGAGAUAUAUAUCUCUGAGCUUUUUGGAUCAGUGCUUGAGUAAAUUUAUUCAUGUUUUCAAAUCUCUCUCAGGCUGGUGGGUUUCCAGAGCCAGAGAUUGUGCACUACAACCCGAAAGAGUUCGACUUUGGGAAGAAG